rnacentral:misc_RNA from 1 species
CUUCGCCUGCAAAGAGAAUAUAAUAGCAGAUGACUUCUUCUUCGCUGGGCUAGCCAAGCCAGGGCUAACCAACAACACCCUAGGCUCUCUGGUCACUGCAGCCAAUGUUCAGAAAAUUCCAGGCCUUAACACCCUUGGAGUCUCCUUGUCCCGCAUUGACUACGCCCCCGGCGGUCUUAAUCCUCCACACACCCACCCACGAGCCACCGAGAUAGUCUUUGUCCUCAAAGGCCAGCUCGACGUGGGCUUCAUCACCACUGCUAAUGUUCUGGUCUCAAGGACCAUCAAGAAAGGCGAGAUAUUUGUUUUCCCAAGAGGGUUGGUGCAUUUCCAGAAGAACAAUGGCAAGGUUCCCGCAGCAGUGAUCGCCGGCUUCAACAGCCAGCUUCCGGGUACUCAAGCCAUCGCCGCCACCUUAUUUGCUGCCACACCGCCGGUUCCAGACCACGUGUUAACCAAGGCUUUCCAGGUAGGGACGAAGGAGAUUGAGAAAAUCAAGUCUAGGUUGGCACCCAAGAAGUAAUUGAAUUGUGUUUUGUGCCUUCUUCAUAAUCUGUAUUUGUUUCCACCGAUGAAACAAUUUGUGGGAUUUGUCCUUCCUAAUAUUUAAUUUUAUUUCCCUGAAUUUAAUAA